UACGGAAGGCAGCAGUGGGGAAUAUUGCACAAUGGGCGCAAGCCUGAUGCAGCCAUGCCGCGUGUAUGAAGAAGGCCUUCGGGUUGUAAAGUACUUUCAGUCGUGAGGAAGGUGUUAAGGUUAAUAACCUUAGCAAUUGACGUUAGCGACAGAAGAAGCACCGGCUAACUCCGUGCCAGCAGCCGCGGUAAUACGGAGGGUGCGAGCGUUAAUCGGAAUUACUGGGCGUAAAGGGCACGCAGGCGGUUAAUUAAGUUGGAUGUGAAAUCCCCGGGCUUAACCUGGGAAUGGCAUUCAAGACUGGUUAGCUAGAGUCUUGUAGAGGGGGUAGAAUUCCAUGUGUAGCGGUGAAAUGCGUAGAGAUGUGGAGGAAUACCGGGUGGCGAAGGCGGGCCCCUGGGACAAAGGACUGACGCUCAUGUGCGAAAGCGUGGGGAGCGAAACAGGAUUAGAUACC
rnacentral:rRNA from 1 species